ACUACUUUACCUGAAUAAACGAGCAUCGAUAUUACUCCAACCUUUGGGUGAUUUUGCGCCGUGGGAUUCUUUUAUCUCUUUUAUUUGAACCACUGGCCUUCUGCGGGAUCCCAGGCAUCCCUGAACAGGAGCAUCCAUCCCGGGCUGCACAUCAUCCGUUGCAAGGAGUCUAUGGGAAUUCGUUUUAUGUCCUCAUUAGAGUUGUGCCUAAAUUAGCACAACUCCAUCAGCACAGCCUGGUGCCUGACUCCUCCUACAUGUGAUCACAUGGUCGUGACAUCAUCACAGGUCCUUUACUUCCUCCUGGAGCCUGACUUGGUGGUAGAAAUAAAAACACCCGACCGUCCAUGGUGAAGGAUUGUCAGAGGAAGAGGAGGACACGCCCCGCCCAGAAAUGCCAAAGAGGAGCGUUUCCAUUGCUUGGAUGUGCGAGAACGAUAGUUAAAUAUCUCCAGUCAACAGAAUCUUGGAGACGGGAUUCAAAUUUAUUCAUUCAGCAUGGAGAGGUAUAUAUGGACAUCCUACAUGUGUUCUGUCAUGUCGGACUCCUGGAAAACUAUUUACUGGUUCCUACAAUAUAGGAUCUGCUCAGUGGAGAUCUUCUAUAUAAGAUCCUUCCCCUGAAUGACCCUUGAAAGAUGGACAGGGACGAGAUGGGGGAGAGUAUAAUAAAUCUCACCCUAGAGAUCCUCUUCCGGCUUACUGGAGAGGACUACACAGUAGUGAAGAAGAUCUCUAGUGAGCGCUGUCAGGCCCCUGUGUCUGAAAGAUGGGAAAGAACCCUGAUCCCAAUCAUGGAGCCUCACCCCCUGAUACAUGAGGAAAUCAAUAGAGAGAUGAUCCUAGAACUCACCAACAAGAUGAUUGAGCUGCUGACUGGAGAGGUUCCUAUAAGGUGUCAGGAUGUCACCAUCUAUUUCUCCAUGGAGGAGU